UACGAAGGGGGCUAGCGUUGCUCGGAAUCACUGGGCGUAAAGCGCACGUAGGCGGAUUGCUAAGUCAGGGGUGAAAUCCUGGAGCUCAACUCCAGAACUGCCUUUGAUACUGGAGAGCUAGAGUCCGGAAGAGGUGAGUGGAACUGCGAGUGUAGAGGUGAAAUUCGUAGAUAUUCGCAAGAACACCAGUGGCGAAGGCGGCUCACUGGUCCGGUACUGACGCUGAGGUGCGAAAGCGUGGGGAGCAAACAGG
rnacentral:rRNA from 1 species